rnacentral:rRNA from 1 species
GCACUAACGAUAGCUAGUUUCCCCGGAAAGAUAUAAAAGUGUCGAGGAAAAGUUUAAUUUAUAAUAUUAACUAUUAUACAUAUAUAUGUUCUUUUUUAUUAAUUUUUUUGAGGAUAAGCUCAGAAAAAAGUUAAGAUAUUUUUAGCUAAAAUUACUGUGUGGGCUUAAAAUUGGCCACCAUAAAAGUUUGUUAUAAAAUAGUAAUCUUAGCUUAGAAAAUAAAUAUAUUUUAAUCUAAACCCUUACGGGGAUAAGAGCUCUAAUUAGAAUUAAGUUCUAUGCCUAUGCUAGAAUGAGUAUUAAAACCUAACUAUAAAAGAAAUAUUAAUUUACUUUUCUUCGAAAAAAAUUCUAAAAAAAAUUAAUUAAUUAGAAGGAAUUCGGCAAGUUUAAUUGCUUCGCCUGUUUAUCAAAAACAUGGCUCUUUGCUCACAUAAGUAUAAAGAGUCGAGCCUGCCCAGUGAAUUUUUUAACGGCCGCGGUACUCUGACCGUGCAAAGGUAGCAUAAUCAUUUGCCUUAUAAUUGAAGGCUAGUAUGAAUGGUUUGACGAGAGCAAUACUGUCUCCUUUUUAUUUUCAAGAACUUAACUUUUAGGUGAAGAGGCCUAAAUUCUAUUGAAGGACAAGAAGACCCUGUCGAGCUUAAAAGACAUUAUAGGAGUCUAGUAUAAUUUUUAGAUAAAUUUUCUAUCAAGCUUUUUAGUUGGGGCGACUAAGGAACAAAAAAAGCUUCUUCCCAAUGAUAAACAAUCAUGUUUAGAUCCGGUAAUAGCGAUCAAAGAAAUUAGUUACCGCAGGGAUAACAGCAUAAUCUCUCUUAAGAGACCUAAUCGAAAGAGGGGGUUGUGACCUCGAUGUUGGACUAGAAUAUCCUAAAGAUGCAGAAUCUUUAAGG